rnacentral:snRNA from 1 species
AGCUGUCGAGUAAGGAGUGG